rnacentral:rRNA from 1 species
GAUGAACGCUGGCGGCGUGCCUAAUACAUGCAAGUCGAGCGAACGGACGAGAAGCUUGCUUCUCUGAUGUUAGCGGCGGACGGGUGAGUAACACGUGGAUAACCUACCUAUAAGACUGGGAUAACUUCGGGAAACCGGAGCUAAUACCGGAUAAUAUUUUGAACCGCAUGGUUCAAAAGUGAAAGACGGUCUUGCUGUCACUUAUAGAUGGAUCCGCGCUGCAUUAGCUAGCUGGUAAGGUAACGGCUUACCAAGGCAACGAUGCAUAGCCGACCUGAGAGGGUGAUCGGCCACACUGGAACUGAGACAAGGUCCAGACUCCUACGGGAGGCAGCAGUAGGGAAUCUUCCGCAAUGGGCGAAAGCCUGACGGAGCAACGCCGCGUGAGUGAUGAAGGUCUUCGGAUCGUAAAACUCUGUUAUUAGGGAAGAACAUAUGUGUAAGUAACUGUGCACAUCUUGACGGUACCUAAUCAGAAAGCCACGGCUAACUACGUG